rnacentral:rRNA from 1 species
UACGUAGGGAGCAAGCGUUGUCCGGAAUUACUGGGCGUAAAGGGUGCGUAGGCGGUCAGGCAAGUCAGAUGUGAAAUCCCCGGGCUUAACUCGGGUGGUGCAUUUGAAACUGCUUGACUUGAGUGCAGGAGAGGAAAGCGGAAUUCCUAGUGUAGCGGUGAAAUGCGUAGAUAUUAGGAGGAACACCAGUGGCGAAGGCGGCUUUCUGGACUGUAACUGACGCUGAGGCACGAAAGCGUGGGGAGCAAACAGGAUUAGAUACCCUGGUAGUCCACGCUGUAAACGAUGGAUACUAGGUGUGGGGGAGAUACAACCUCCGUGCCGCAGCAAACGCAAUAAGUAUCCCGCCUGGGGAGUACGGUCGCAAGGCUGAA